rnacentral:lncRNA from 1 species
AUAAAACACAAAAAUACACAUGCCCUACAUAUUACAUAUUACAUAUUACAUGCCAUUCAAGCAUUCUAACUGUUGAUCAUUUAGGAUGUGUAGUGGAAGACAUUUCAAAGAGAAUCAGAGCUUACACGCAAAGGACUUAUAAAAUAAUUAAACAUGUGACAGACAUAUAGUUUAAGCUUCUAAGGGGCGGGUUUUAGACUGACUUUGGGGUGGCAUUUUUGUUGGACCUGGCAACCCUGCACACAAACAGAAGUUACGUCCAACCAUUCAUCACACACACCACUCAAACUCAAACGCCGCGGGAAAAAGUCGCAUGCUGUCACUCUCCGCCGAUUAUUCGAUAUAAAAUCACACGCUGCGAUGUUUAAUCACCGAGACUGUGAUGUUAAGCUGUCUGUGGAGGAAACCUGUCCACACCCAAGUGCUGCACAGCGCCGGACAGGUGAAGAUGAGGACCUGCUCAAUCCUGACUUUACCCACACAACCCGCUGUGGAUUCCUCAAAUGUGUAGGCAAGUUUCAUUAAUAUUGUUAUUUGGUAA